ensembl:snRNA U6 U6 spliceosomal RNA
AUCCUCGCUUUGGCAGAACAUACACUAAACUUGGAAGAUUAGCAUGGCCCCUGCACAAGGAUGACAUGAAAAUUGGUGAAGUGUUCCAUAGUUAA